AUCCACCAAGACUUUGGGGAUGGUUACCCCGGCCGCAGGUAAUGAGAUUACCAGAACUCCGUAGUAAGGAUCUGGGUCCGCCUCCUUCUCGUCAAAGGACUGUUGCUCAUCUUUGGCUUUUUUGAGGUUCUUUUCAGUUAUGCCGAUCUCCGAGAGAUCCGCAAUGAUUGGUCUCUUCGAUCUGGCUUCAUCGCUUGCGUGUUCGUCCUACUCCUUAGCAUGUUGACUUGUGGCCUUGGCAGGUCGACGUUCCAGGCCCUUGCAGUAGCUUGAUUUCCUUGGACAAUUCCAGUCCUGUAAGAAGCGGGAAAUUUCACGUAAUAAUGAUAAAUUGAUGUGGCAGCUUUUAGUUCAUGCAAAAUGAGUCGUCCCAAUAUUGCAUUGUAAUUGGAUGGAAAAUCGACCACCACAAAAUCCGCUAGGAUCCUUCCUUGGCGAGGAGCUUUGCCCAGCUCCACAAUAAGGACGAUCUGACCUAGGGUUUCAAUAGGAUCCCCAAAAAAUCCUUGUAGCUUCCUUGGGUAUGGUUGGAGGUAACGGUCUGAUAUUUCCAACUGCCUCAAGGUUCAUUAGUACAGUAUGUUGAUCGAACUUCCAUUGUCCACUAGAGUGCGAUGGACUUUUACUUCGGCAACCAUCAUUGUGACCACCAGGGCGUCAUUCUGGUCUUGAAGGAUUCCUUUAGAAUUUUCUUCCGUGAACUAGAACGAUUCAGGGUCUAUGCCGGUCUUAGGGGUUUGAUUCCAGUAGUUUGGCACGAUUUUUGCACUUCGGGCUUGCCUUCGCCUGGCCCUUCUGGAUCCCUCAAUAUAUUGGUUUUCGUCCACCAUCAUUUUGAUUUCGACAUGUGGGGGUGGGUUACGGUUAGGGAU
rnacentral:lncRNA from 1 species